rnacentral:rRNA from 1 species
AAAUAUAAUCUUGUUAAAUUAAAGAGAGUUUUGAGGAAGAUAUAAUAAAAUUAUUUUAAAUUAAUUAUAAUUAUUAAGUAGAAUGAAUCGAAAUAUAAUAAUAAGGCUAUAGAGGAAAGUACUGUGAAGGAAAGAUGAAAUAGUUUGAAAAUUAAUUUGAUAGAAAGUAGUUUUAUAUGUUCGUACCUUGUGUAUCAGGGAAAACUAAAAUUAUCUUAUAAUUUAAGAUGUCCCGAAAAAAAAAGAGUUAAUUUAAAAAUAAAGUUUUCGUGUUAAUGAAAUUUUAAAUUUUAUAUUAGUGGUGAAAUGCCAGUCGAUUUUUUAUAUCUGGUUGUUAGUGAAUUAAAUUUAAUUUAAAUGCUUAAUGGUUAAGUUAAACUAAUAAGUAAGAAAGAAUAGGAGGGAAGAGCUUCUUAUUCUAUAAUAAUUAAAUUGUGGUUAUAUUUAAAUAUGUGAUUGUUGAAUUAAGCUUAAAAACAGCUAUAUUAGUAAAGCGUUCUAGUUAAUAUAAUUUAUUUUAAUAUUUAUAUGAAACCCAAAAAUUUGUAACUAAAAUUUCCAUGAAAUAUAAUUUUGGAAGUUAUACUGGUUUUAUAAGUAGAGUUAUUUUGUAAGAAAAUUAUGUUAAAGUUUUAUAAAAAUUAUAUUAUAAUUAAGGUAUAAUUAAGGAACUCGGCAAAUAUUACUUUUGCCUGUUUAUCAAAAACAUGUCUGUAUGGUUGUUAUAUAGAGUCUAGCCUGCCCACUGAUUUUAUUAAAGGGCCGCGGUAUUUUGACCGUGCGAAGGUAGCAUAAUCAUUAGUCUUUUAAUUGGAGGCUUGUAUGAAUGGUUGGACAAAAAGUUGGCUGUCUCGUUUAUAUUAAUUGAAUUUAACUUUUAAGUGAAAAGGCUUAAAUGAACUGAAGGGACGAUAAGACCCUAUAAAGCUUUACAAUAAGAAAAUUAAACUAUAAAUUAUUAGUAUAACUUAAUUUAAUUGGUAUUUGUUUCGUUGGGGCGACGGGAAUAUAAUAAUAUAACUGUUCUUUUAUAAGUUUAACAAAAUUAAUUGGAUAAAAAUUGAUCCUUUAAUAAAGAUUAAAAGAUUAAGUUACUUUAGGGAUAACAGCGUAAUCUUCUUUGAGAGUUCAAAUCGACAAGAAGGGUUGCGACCUCGAUGUUGAAUUAAGGUAUCCUUACAAUGCAGCAGUUGUAAAGGAAGGUCUGUUCGACCUUUAAAUCCUUACAUGAUUUGAGUUCAGACCGGCGUAAGCCAGGUCGGUUUCUAUCUUUCAGGUUUAUAUGAAUUACUUUAGUACGAAAGGAUUAAGUAGUUGAAAUAUUUUUAUAGGGAAGAAUAACUUUAAUGGAACU